rnacentral:ncRNA from 1 species
GAAAGGUCGUCAGUAUUGCCGUUUGCUUAUCAGACGGCAGUCAUUUUUUGCGGCUGGGUGGUGGAAAAGAUUUCCAAAACCCCAAUUAAA